UAAGUGUUUUCACUUAGCGGGAAGUAAAUUCCCAAUAAAGACUUUCAAAAUCUUUGUAAAACAAA
rnacentral:tRNA from 1 species